rnacentral:ncRNA from 1 species
UGAUAGAGGCGCGGUACUCAAGAGUAAUCCCCUCAAGCUGCAGGAACAGCCGGAUGAAAGGGUUUACCGCCGAAGGGAUUUAAGAUUUCCUGAUCUUUUAUUUGCCUGGGUCUGCGGACAAUAUCCGCAGGACUGUCAUUUCGAUGAAGCGCUAUCAG